CCACAGACAUAUAAGAGAAACAGACUGUACACAAAUUACACAAACACUUAGACAGUAAUAAGCAAUAUCUCCAUCUUGUUCUCACUCGUCUGAAUUUCAAAUACAUCUUUCUCUGUCUUUCAAUGUAGUAACACAGACACAUACAUAGACAAAACCAAAAUUGAAGCAAUCCGCCAUGUUGAUAGAUGAUGAUAGAAGACACAUGGCUUCCUAGCAAAAUCGAUUAAGUGAUUUUGUUUCUUAUAAAUAUUGAAUAUUAAUGUGUAAAUUGUGAAAAUAAGACGGAUUAAAUAUGGUAAAGUGCAAUGCCCCACUUUAUAGGAGUGCUACAUAUAAUAAAACACCUGACAUAACAUUUCAUAAAUUUCCAAAUGAUGUCCACUGGAGAAAUUCCUGGUUGGCAAAUAUGAAUAUGACAAAUUGGCAGCCCACAAAAUCUUGUGUUAUGUUCAAAAUAUUUUGAAAAUGAAUAAAGUAGUAAAUUGUUUGAUUUGUCAAUCAUUAAUGAUAGGCGUAAAAGAAAAUUUAUUGUGUUCAUUAAUAAACAAAAAGAUAGAGGAGGUUUGAUUUACCCAUCAGAUGGUCUGAUUAAAAUUAUUCAAUCAUGUAAGAAGGUUUCGCAGAUGAUUAAAGAAAAAUAUUAAUUAAAAUUCUAUGAUUUCAUAUGUUGGUGAUUAUUUAAAUUAUGACACAUUUGGUUCGCAAAAUAUGACUAUAAUAACUUGCAUUUAUUAAUUAGAAUUAUUAUUAAGUUUUACGUAGAUUUAAGGUGUAAAUACGAUGCAAAAAAAAAAAACUAACAACUGAACGAAAUUAUUAAAAAAAAAUUGUCUUAUUUAAAAAUAAAUAAUUCGUAAAUUCUUUUUGGUUUCAUUUAUAUUGUUCAACUCCAUCAUAGUUAUAAAUUAAUAGCUGUCCCGACUUACGUUGUCCCUAUUAACUAGGUAUAAGCUGGAAUAAAUAAAUCAUUACAUCCUAUAUCUACAACUAAAUUUAGACCUACAACAACACUUAUAACCUAUACCUACACCUUUUCCAAUAUUUCUCAUCAUUUAAAGUGUUAAUACUUUCCCCGCAAUUAUUUCAAAAUUUGUCAUCGCUGAAACCUUAUCUGUACUGAUAUGAUCAUUUUAGGACCAAAAUUAGUCAAACCGGUCCAGCCGUUCUCGAUUUUAGCCAGACAUUGGAAUUGCAAUCAAUUUUUUUUAUUAAGAUAAUCUGUGUUAUAAUUUUAUAAAUUGAUAAGUACUGAAUACGGCCCAGGAAUUGUUGAUGUGUGUGUAGAUGUGUUAGUGUUGUAUAGUUGCCACGGUUUUGUAGCUGUCACCUUCGGUCUGUUCCUCUUAUAUGUCUGUGG
rnacentral:misc_RNA from 1 species